UACGGAGGAUCCAAGCGUUAUCCGGAAUCAUUGGGUUUAAAGGGUCCGUAGGCGGUUUAGUAAGUCAGUGGUGAAAUCCCAUCGCUCAACGGUGGAACGGCCAUUGAUACUGCUAGACUUGAAUUAUUAGGAAGUAACUAGAAUAUGUAGUGUAGCGGUGAAAUGCUUAGAGAUUACAUGGAAUACCAAUUGCGAAGGCAGGUUACUGGUAAUGAAUUGACGCUGAUGGACGAAAGCGUGGGUAGCGAACAGG
rnacentral:rRNA from 1 species